UCCACCUCUCCAACCAGGGGACAUGCCCUGGGAGCCAACCUUGGGUCUCAUUUCCGGGGUCGGUUAACAGGGUCACUGCUGGUAGCAAUUUCUGUGUCAGUCAGAGGCCCUGCAGGAAGCAGGCCUGUCACUCCAAAUCUGGGUAAUUCAAGGAAAGUUCGAUGGAGAGAGUGUUGACCUCUCUUUGGAGCUAGUGAACCCCUCAGCCUGAGGAGUGAAGACAGGGGUCAGUUUUGGUGAGCCAGAGAAGACUGCUGUGUGGAGAGGGCUGCCCACGGGGCUGUGGGUAGACAUGGAGGUAUAGCCUGUCCAGGGUGACACUGCCAGGAGGGACCAGGAGGCAACCUCCGCCCACUGAGUUCACUUUCUCCCAAGUACCCAUGUCCUGCUGGUGCCACCACAGUGGCCAAAAGCCAGGGGAUGUGAGGGCUGGAGACACAGCUGACGCAGCACCACCUCCAGGGGCUCAGAGAGCUGAUCAGGAUGGGCAGACAGAGGACCCCAGCCCACCCCACUCAGACAUGCACCCCCAGGCAGAGCCAGGGUGACUGUGAGAUGGAGGUCGACGGGGGGCAGGCCAAGUCAAACUACACGCAGUGGGAGUGGAUGUGGGGAGGGGGCCUGGAGAUGGAAAACUUUAGCCCCAAAGCAGGAAGGCCUGCUGGGCAUGCAAAACCAGGGGCGCCCACUUGGAACCCUAGCACGAGAGGACUGCAAGUUAGAUCAGGCUCCAGCUGCCUCAGGGUCCGGACACAUUAUUUUCCAUCAAGAAAAGUGAAACCCAAGAGGACUUACAAUAUUUGUACAAGGCGACCCAGCUCGUUAGCGGACCAAUACUCGACUCAGUGUACUGUCUUCUUCACCAAAUGGCCGUUUUUUAAGAACAAGACCAUCGUGUGGUCUUGUGUUAGUGUUGUCCGCCAGGAGUCUUGGAAUCGCCGCUGCAAGUCUGAGAGGCGGUGUGGAGAGUGAUAUGGGCCCCCGUCCACCCUCCCCCCACUCACUCGGGAGGGCACAGUCAGACAAACACAGGGAAGGAUGUAGCAAACAACCGUGAAUCCUGCCCGUUGGGCCUCUCCUGGAGUUUCCAGCUCAGGAUCGGCAGCUGGAGCCAGGGUGGCGGGCUGGGGGUGAGCCUGACUAAGAAUGUGGGGGCCCCAGUUCUGACCCUGCUCCCCUCCCAGAGGGGCUGCCAGGACACACUUACCAGGUCACCCAAGAGAAGUUAUUCUCUCUCCAAGGCCAGACUCAUUUUCCUCCGAACCUAAUCUUUCACCGAAGAAAAGAAUUUCUCUUACAUUCAUUCAUUCGUUUGUUCAUUAAUUCAUUCUUCAACAGAUAUUUGUUGAAUAAGGCACUGUCGUAGGUGCUGGGGCCACCUGAACACACAAAAUAGACGAAGCUCCCUGCAUUGUGGACCUUCCGUUCUACUGGGGGGGCGAGGGUGUCAAUACAUAACAAGGACAGAGUGUAAGCAAAUCAUUGUGUCCCUUAGAAGGCAGUGAGGACUGCAGAGCAGGGGAGGGACCUGGGACACUGCGGUUGGAGGUGGCCCAUUAGGUACAGGGUCAAGGAGGCUGCACCGCAAGGACCUGAGAGAGGGAGCCCCCCCCCCCGCCAGAUGCAGGGCCCCUGCUAGAGGGAGAGACCGCUACUUCAUCAGUGUCACGUCAGCUCUCGUACACACAACCUCACUGUGAAAAGGACUCCACUGGGAAAGGAAAAAGCAAAGCAAAAAAAAAAUUUAAUUAAUUAAUUUAGGUAAAUAAGUAAAAAUGCUCCCACAAUUCCUUUAAGUGGGAUGUUGAACAUUGGUGAAUUUUCAAUGUCCAUGCCAACAGGAAGGGCAUGGCUCUCUGGACAGGGCCAGGGUGCUGAAGGGCCUAAGGGUGCUUUGCUCAUGUACCAAUUUGCCAUGGAAAAGUCUGACAAGACAGACGAGUGAAAAAAAGAAGAAGUUUGAAGUCCAGUUCCUGGUAUUUCCAGGUCAUUUUGCCCAGGCACAUGGAUCCUUAAAACCAUUGGAAAUAGUUGUAUGCCCAGUUGGAAAGGACCAGGCUGGGCCAGUGGGCUUCACUUGCCCCUGUCUGCCUGUCCGUCCCUGAAUGGCCAUGGGGGACCGGUGAGUCACUGUUGAUACACUGUGCCUGGCAUGGGCAUCUCACCUAUGACUCACUCUCCCGUGAGUGUACUGUUGAUUUAGCAGGAGGGUCUCCGAAAAGCUCAGGCACUGGACCAUGUCGUGACCAAGGAGACUGCCACAGGAUAAGAGAGGGAUUUUCUGAAUCUCAACUCCCUCAACAAAGAUGACCGCGCAAUAUAGCAUUUUCCUCUGUCAACAAACUUGUCAGUUUGGCUUGGCUGUGUUUAGGAAACACCUUUUAAUCAUGGAGAUUACUUGGAAUGAAGGGUGUCGGGGCCCUCCUUAGGCAAACGUUAUCUGACCCUCUUUAAAAAGCAAACAGAGCCUGUGGUAUAAGAUCGAGGGCCAGGACGCACACUUAUCCUUGACGGUGGUCUCCUUUGGACAGAGGAGGAAGGUCAUAGCCGCCAUGGAGCCCAAGGUGACCUGCGUCCUGGUCAUGGUCUUUGCUCUGGCCCUCAGCAGCCUGGCUCAGGGCGAGGCCGGUAAGACACCCCCUUUCCUGCUCUGUGGUGGGCACGGGGGGCAGGGGUCCACCUCUGGGAGUCAUGGUUUCACAACGUACUUUUGAGCCAAGCACUGUUUAGUGCCAGGGGCUGUUCUAGACCCUGGGAAGAUUCUGGAAAGCAGAACAUGGGAAGAUAGCAGCAGGGUGGAGGGGCCCGUGGAAGCUUUGGGGACUGCGGUGAGAACGUAGUGGCCUCGGUUGGCAUCUCUCUUCAGUACUGAUGCUAGAAUAUUCUGGGGCUCUUAAGUAUCACAUUUCAAAGAGCUAUCUUUGAUGUUAAUGCCCAAGCCAAACCCCUGGGGCUGGACCCACUCAAGGUCCACACAGGCCUCUAAGAGCCUCUUCUGAGGACGGGCGUCCCCUGGGAACCCUGCUGGCAGGUUCUGUGGGCUCUCCUGGGCCCCCUGUUCCGUGGAACCCAGACCACUUGUCCCACUGGUGCAUGUGUCCCAUCAGUGCCUAGUCCAUGGGUGUCACCAAAUAAGAGAAUUAAGGAGGGAGGACACUAUUGCUUCCUUUGAACGUGUUUGUGUCUCAAAUCCUUUACCUGCAGAGCAGGGUCAAUCUUCAGCUUCAGACGGUUGUCAGCAAAAUUACGUGUGAUGAUAUUUGGGAAAAGCUACAAAGUGCUAAAUAAAUGUUGCUUAUUAUUGGCAGAUACACUUUUAAAGGGAGAGGGCUGGAGAAGGAUUUUCCAAAGGUUUCAAAAUGAGGAUUCCGAUCGAGGUUUGAAGGGAGGUAAAAGGAUGGGUCCCAUGUAUCUCUGGACACGUUCCAAGGACCUCACAUGUCAGGAACAGCGGACCAGGCAUGUGAGGACGGGAUGGGGGGAGGAAGGCCCCACGGCCUAAGGCAAGGAGGAGGGAGGGGGCUUGGACCUGAAAGGACAUAUGCCCUCCUGUGGGGAUGGAGGAGGGUGGUCUGUACCCGGCCGCACCCCGGUCCGUCUGCAUCUUCCCUGGCACCCCAGUCCCCAGCUCUGCCCACUGCAUUGUCCGCUUCCGGGAGGCUGGGCAGCCUUGCAUUGUCCACUUCCGGGAGGCUGGGCAGCCUAGCCCUGGUCCCCACUCUCCACACCAGCUUCUGGCCACCCACUGGCCCCUGCCCUGUGGCCCAAGGCUCAACCUUUCUCUGUGGUUCUCACAGGGUCAGCGAUCCUGUGACAACAGAAAACUAGAAAACUCCAUCCAAUUACAAGUGUAGCCCUGGCUGGAAAUCAUUUCCAUUUAGUCCUGUUAUGCAACAGAAAACAGUGGGCAAGAUGGACUCCUGUUGAGGACAGAACCCUUGGAAAUCUUCAGUUCCCGUUUAGGAUGGCAGCUGGGAGGGGGUCAGGUUACCCAGCAAAGCAGCCCUCUGCCCCUCCCCCGGCUGCUUCAUCACAACCUGCAGGGAGAGAAAGGACAAAAGAACUGUGGUCCAAGCUCUGCACACACAGCCUGUCUUGACCUUCCCCACCACCCUGCCCGGUGGAGUGGGCAAUGACCACCUUCUCUCUACGGCGGGGAGGCCAGACCCUGGGGUGUUUGAUGUCCCCAAGAGGCUGCACCGCCAGUGGGAGAUGGACGCCCGUCUUUCUGCAAAGCCACAGAAACUUUUCUUCAAAGAAAGCUAGAGGCGAUCCUCAGACGUCGAUACAAAAACACACAAAGACCAGCUCGAGUGACGGGCUCCGCUUUAAGAUGCUCAGGUGGACUUCACAAGGGACCAAAGGCGAGCAUCCUGCCUCUCAGUCUAGGAGACGCCAGGCAUCUAUCUGUCUUUGGUUGGACUGCCUUCUUCUGAGAGCGAGAUGCUCCAGGUCAAGGCCAGCUCGUGACCACAUCUGCCCUGAACCUCGGUCCUCCUUGCUCUGUUCCGGCUCCUUCCCUCCCAGUCUCUUUACCACCCACACUCCCAAGGCCUGGCUGCGCGUCCCCUUCACCCAGGGACAGAGUCUGGUCCGGGAGUGGAUGGCGCGGCUGCAUGGCCAGGCCUCUCUCUGGAGGCCAGCUGGUGGCGUUCAUCCACGAGCACGCCGAGCCCACGUGCAGAGCGGAGCCCCUAACCUUCGAAGCAUCCCCCCUCACCCACGAGACAGGAGACGUGUCAGAUGGAACCCCAUCAAAGGGUAAAUUGUGGUCACCCCAGUAUCACAUCUACGGAGUGCAAAAGUAAAGGCUGCUGCUUUGAUAGCAAAAUUUCUGGAGUCCCCUGGUGCUUCCAUCCUGUGGCCGUUGAUGAACCUUUAGAAGGGGAGUGUCAGUUUUAGACGCUUUUCCGGUGGGGAUGGCAUCAGCCCGGCGCCGGGGUCUUAACUCCGUCUCUGGCUGGAUGUUUCGGGGUCCUCUGAGCCUGAACUCACUGCCUGGAUUGACUGCUCUGAUUCCUCGUACUCAAAAUCAGCCUAAAAAUUAAAAGAGAUAAAUGUUACUCUGUGCUGGU